ACUCAGGAUGCGGUCUAUCUGCCCUGAAAUUGGGGAAGGAUGAGCUUCAAGGCCGGCCUUGGCCUCAUCAAACACACUGACCCUCGUUAACCCUCUGCACAGACUGCAGGGCUCUGGCAUCCUGCAGUCUGCAGCGCCGGCCAGUACUCUUGUACCGCCCCCUGCAACACUUCCAGGUUUGCCCUCGCCAACUCCAACAGAGCCAGCACAGACUUCAGACCACAUGGGCGUCUGCUGUAAUCCAAUAUCUGACCGACUGCUCUGCUUCACUUUCAAGAUCAUCUUCAUCUGUGAAAAAACAACAGCAGAUAAAGAGAAGAGAAGCCUGGCCUACAGAAAAUGCUGCAGUCCCCUGACAGAACAAAAAGGAAGGGAAGCACCACUAGGAACCUUCAUAAACUCUGAGGCAAAGAUAGCUUCCUUUUGCAAAUGGCAUUUCAGGUGGGCUCCACACUCAGCACUGCUGCUCCAGUCCGAACACACCUGCUGCAGGAUGGUCAGAUGAAGAUCCAGACAAUGCCUGACUCAGGGCAGCAUGCAGGACUCUAAUUACUUAUAAGACCUUAUACAAUAUAAGUUAAGUGCUAUGCAAAUAAUUCUUUUCUUCUUGUUUAGGGAAUAAGGACAAGAAAAAUUUCUGCACAUGUUAUUCAGUACAGACACUACUUUUUCCCCAAAAAUUAUCAACCCAAGUCUGGUUAAAUCCGUGGAUUCAGAACCCAAAGUCCAGAGGGCCAACAGUUUUACAUAAGAUGACUGUAAAAUGAAAACCCUUUUGUUGCUAUUAAUAUGAAUACUCAGUCUGCAUAUUAAACACAGAAAACUUACACCAUCCUCAAGGUUUUGAAAUCUAUGAGAAAAGACUAAGCAAAACACUAGAGAACAAUUUUUAAAAUGCAAAUAAAGUGUUAAACUGUGUGUUGCAAAAAAUCCCUGUGGGUAGACAACUAUAUGGGAAGGUUGUCCAAUACAUAACUUGUUCAAUUUGGGUGGGAUACAGCUCAGUGAUAAGAGUUCUUGCCUAACAUGCACAAGGCCCUAGGUUCGAUCCCCAGGGCCACCAAACAAACAAAUAAACAAAUAAAUAUUGUUCAAUCAUCAAAUGAGUUCUAACGCUUUUUUUUUUUUUUUUUUUUUUUUUUUUUUGGUACCAGAGAUCAAA